rnacentral:rRNA from 2 species
GUGUUCCACGCUGUCGGUUCGCCGCCCGUCGGUGUUAACUGGCAUGUCCUGUGGAACGUCCUGCCGGUGGCGGUCCGGGCGUUCGGCUUGCGUAAAGGCUCACGCCCGAAGCAGGUCGAGCUGUCCCGGCCGCCGGUCCAAUCCCGCCACGGUGCUCUUCACCGAGUGUCGAGGUGGGCCGGCACGUUUACUUUGAACAAAUUAGAGUGCUUAAAGCAGGCUGGUGUCCGCCUGAAUACUGUGUGCAUGGAAUAAUAGAAUAGGACCUCGGUUCUAUUUUGUUGGUUUUCGGAACCCGAGGUAAUGAUUAAUAGGGACAGGCGGGGGCAUUCGUAUUGCGACGUUAGAGGUGAAAUUCUUGGAUCGUCGCAAGACGAACCUAAGCGAAAGCAUUUGCCAAGUAUGUUCUCGUUAAUCAAGAACGAAAGUUAGAGGUUCGAAGGCGAUCAGAUACCGCCCUAGUUCUAACCAUAAACGAUGCCAGCCAGCGAUCCGCCGAAGUUCCUCCGAUGACUCGGCGGGCAGCUUCCGGGAAACCAAAGCUUUUGGGUUCCGGGGGAAGUAUGGUUGCAAAGCUGAAACUUAAAGGAAUUGACGGAAGGGCACCACCAGGAGUGGAGCCUGCGGCUUAAUUUGACUCAACACGGGAAACCUCACCAGGCCCGGACACCGGAAGGAUUGACAGAUUGAGAGCUCUUUCUUGAUUCGGUGGGUGGUGGUGCAUGGCCGUUCUUAGUUGGUGGAGCGAUUUGUCUGGUUAAUUCCGAUAACGAACGAGACUCUAGCCUGCUAACUAGGCGAUUUCCGGUACCCACAAUAGUGUUACCGGCGAUUCAAUUUCUUCUUAGAGGGACAGGCGGCUCCUAGCCGCACGAGACUGAGCAAUAACAGGUCUGUGAUGCCCUUAGAUGUCCUGGGCCGCACGCGCGCUACACUGAAGGAAUCAGCGUGUCUUCCCUGGCCGACAGGCCCGGGUAACCCGUUGAACCUCCUUCGUGCUAGGGAUUGGGGCUUGCAAUUGUUCCCCAUGAACGAGGAAUUCCCAGUAAGCGCGAGUCAUAAGCUCGCGUUGAUUACGUCCCUGCCCUUUGUACACACCGCCCGUCGCUACUACCGAUUGAAUGAUUUAGUGAGGUCUUCGGACUGGUGCGCGGCGAUCGGUUCUGCCGGUCGCCGAUGUUGCUGGAAAGAUGACCAAACUUGAUCAUUUAGAGGAAGUAAAAGU